CGGACUCAGAACUAGGGGUCUCCCCUGAAGUAACCUGCUCAAAGGGGCCUCCUCCAACCUCCUGACCUCCCUUGUGCACCCCACACCUGCUUGUUAGUGUUGGGGGCCUGUUGUCCCCCAAGGCCCUGACUUGUGUCAUCUGGGGAACCACGUGGGACCCCAAAGGAAGCCCCUGUGAGUCCUGCUGCAUGUCCAGCAGAGAGGGGCCUCACCAGCCUCAGCUGAGCUCAUCUGCAGAGGAGAUGCUGCUGUUGCCCAUCAGCCCCUCAGCCUCGUCCUCUCAGAAAACCCCUCAGUCCACUGAGAACAUGAAACGUCACCUCUGAUCCAAGCACCACGGGACAUGGCAGCAUCCCUCCAGCCACGGCUCAGGAAACUGCACCCAGAUAAGGAGGACAAGACUCCAGCAUCCGGGACUCACUCACAGACCCCCAGUGCACACUCAGUGUUGUGUACAUUCCUGACCUCUACCUCCCAGUAACAUCGCCCUGAUGUGAUGCCCUCAAGACCACAAGCACUGUAUCCUUCUUUAUUUCCAUCCUUGGAACUCUUCAGACUCUUCCUAUCCUGAGAGAGGACAAUUCCACCAUAACAAGAACCUGGAUCCAGAGUGACAGGCCCUGCAGAGAGAGAACCCAUACACCAGCCUGACAUAACAAGGACACACACCUCCUCACCCCAGAUACUCAGCUUUAUGAGGAGGGGGAUAUGUUCCCUGAAAUGAGAGCCUGGUGACCCCAGCCCACAGUCCCCAAGCAAGAGAAGGAGCCACAAGAUUACUGGGGGUCAGAUAUGUCACAGGACUCCUGGGGACCCACCUGGACCCCAAGGACUAAACAGCCCCUUUCAGCACCCAUGACCAGUCACCCCUCAGCCCAGCUGUGUGACAACACAGCUGCAUCCACCCCACCCCCACGGAGCGUGCAGAAUCUGUGCCCACACAGAGAAUAGAAGGAAAGGUCAGAAGCUGAGCAGCCCCAGAGAGAACAGAGUCACUCACAGGCCCGGAACUGCUCCUUCCGCCAAUCUGCAAGAGACACACAUGUCACGUGAGGGACUCUAGAUACUGACACAUCAGGGCCCAUGCCUAGUUUUCUAAAUGACAGUAACACAGAGUUCACAGGGGAAAAUAUUUGGAAACAUUUAGUUGAUGCAUUUAAUUUUUAGAUACAUACACACAUACACACACACAGAGUUGUUAUACUGCAAAUUUCCAUGAUUUAAGACAUAAAGCUUAAUACGCAGAGUAAGAAGCUGGACACCAACGGAACAGAAAGUUCUUUUACCACAUAUGACCAUCAGUUUAUACUUUGGAAGUCACCAGCCACAGGCCCAUCCUGGAAACCAGGUUUUCUUGAACAGGUUCUAUGGAGAUGAAGUGCCCAGGACUGCGUGUGCUUGUGAAGAACUAACAGACAUGGACAUGCAGCUUCUCUCUGAGCCACGGGGCUUAGAGCUACAACCAGCUCAGGCCUGUGUGCGGCCCUCCUGGGGCAGCAAAGGCCUGUGGAAACCUGGAGACGAGGGGGCUGGUGGGCAGAGCUUCUCCCUCUGAUUGUGAAUGAAUCUGUUUGUCCAACAAGGAAAGAGAGACAGACAGACAGACAGAGAGACUGACACAACGUGACUGAGAUACAUGUGGGGUGACUGUGACAUGAGUGAGGAGACUCACGACACUCAGCAGAGGGUCCUGCCCACUCAGGAGGGGUGGAGA